AGGUCACAAGAUUGCGCCAACCCUUACAUGGUCCUUAAAAAAAAAACCUUCUGACACUGCAGUAGUGAAAAUGAAGCGCACGAUGGGCGGAAGCUAGGAAGACAAACAUAAAGAUGAAGUGCUUAAUUCAAGGUCACACAAUGUCGGGGAUGGACCUCCAGAUUUCCUUACUGGAAAACAAGCUCAGGGCUCCCACUGAUUGUACAUUAUGGUGAGACGUGGUCUUGUAACACAGUGGUUAAGAAUGUGACUUUGGAGCCAGCCUGCUAGGGGCUGAAUUCUGACUCAGCCAUUUACUAACUGUGUGACCUUAGGUGGAGUCUCACUCUGUAGCCCAAGCUGGAGUGGCGUGAUCUCGACUCACUGCAACCUCCGCCUCCUGGGAUCAAGUGAUUCUCGUGCCUCAGCCUCCUGAGUAGCCGGGACUACAGGUCACAGAAUUUUCCACACUCCUUGACAGAGGUGCUUAACCCUUAUCCAUCAGCAUUCUCAGACAGCACCUCCGGUUAGGGACAGUAUCUGACCGUCCGACAUCCCUGCAGCCCCCAUGUGUCACACAGACUCAGCCUCAGGUAGAUGGUUUCCGUAGAUGGUGGCUUUCUUUGGACCCUUGACAUCAACCAGUUACUAUUUGGUCUAGGGGUCUCACCAACGCUGCUCAUCUAGCAGGGCCACACAUAACAAAUAGAAGCAGAGCAAGCCCUGGAACUCCUGCCUGACAGUGACACGACGACAGAAACAUCUUACCAGUCAGAGGACCAUGAGAAAUAGAUUCAAGGAGCAUUCCACGUGCAAGUGAGUCUUGGCCCCAUCUGCCUUUGGAUUUUAGCCGUGAACUGGAAGGUAUUGGAAAGAAGACCCUCAGAAAUAGCUUAAUCAAAAUCCCUGCGUCUGAACCAAGUGCCUUAUUUCUCUGUGGGCCUCAAGCUUCGCUGACAUCUGUGGAGCACACUGUCCUAACAGGAGUGCUGUCUGAUUUCCCAACGCUCUGCAAAACAAACAGCCUGGAAGGGUGGCUGGUGGAAGGUGGUUUUUAGAGAGAGACUUGUAGAUAACAGGAAAGUGAAGGCUGUAAGGAAGGUUGUAAUUAAACAGCACAUGGAAACACAAUCACAUUAUUGUCCCAUUCCAUAGGGAUAAUGAUGACCACUUCAGUGGGAAAAGGAGAGG
rnacentral:lncRNA from 10 species